GUAAUGUCUGGGAAACUGCCUGAUGGAGGGGGAUAACUACUGGAAACGGUAGCUAAUACCGCAUAACGUCGCAAGACCAAAGAGGGGGACCUUCGGGCCUCUUGCCAUCGGAUGUGCCCAGAUGGGAUUAGCUAGUAGGUGGGGUAACGGCUCACCUAGGCGACGAUCCCUAGCUGGUCUGAGAGGAUGACCAGCCACACUGGAACUGAGACACGGUCCAGACUCCUACGGGAGGCAGCAUG
rnacentral:rRNA from 1 species